GAUGAACGCUGGCGGCGUGCCUAAUACAUGCAAGUCGAGCGAACAGACGAGGAGCUUGCUCCUCUGACGUUAGCGGCGGACGGGUGAGUAACACGUGGAUAACCUACCUAUAAGACUGGGAUAACUUCGGGAAACCGGAGCUAAUACCGGAUAACAUGUUGAACCGCAUGGUUCAACAGUGAAAGACGGUCUUGCUGUCACUUAUAGAUGGAUCCGCGCCGCAUUAGCUAGUUGGUAAGGUAACGGCUUACCAAGGCAACGAUGCGUAGACGACCUGAGAGGGUGAUCGGCCACACUGGAACUGAGACACGGUCCAGACUCCUACGGGAGGCAGCAGUAGGGAAUCUUCCGCAAUGGGCGAAAGCCUGACGGAGCAACGCCGCGUGAGUGAAGAAGGUCUUCGGAUCGUAAAACUCUGUUAUUAGGGAAGAACAAAUGUGUAAGUAACUAUGCACGUCUUGACGGUACCUAAUCAGAAAGCCACGGCUAACUACGUG
rnacentral:rRNA from 1 species